rnacentral:tRNA from 1 species
GUUUCCGUAGUGUAGUGGUUAUCAGGUUCGCCUCACACGCGAAAGGUCCCCAGUUCGAAACUGGGCGGGAACA